GACGAACGCUGGCGGCGUGCUUAACACAUGCAAGUCGAACGGAAAGGCCCUGCUUUUGUGGGGUGCUCGAGUGGCGAACGGGUGAGUAACACGUGAGUAACCUGCCCUUGACUUUGGGAUAACUUCAGGAAACUGGGGCUAAUACCGGAUAGGAGCUCCUGCUGCAUGGUGGGGGUUGGAAAGUUUCGGCGGUUGGGGAUGGACUCGCGGCUUAUCAGCUUGUUGGUGGGGUAGUGGCUUACCAAGGCUUUGACGGGUAGCCGGCCUGAGAGGGUGACCGGCCACAUUGGGACUGAGAUACGGCCCAGACUCCUGCGGGAGGCAGCAGUGGGGAAUAUUGCACAAUGGGCGGAAGCCUGAUGCAGCAACGCCGCGUGCGGGAUGACGGCCUUCGGGUUGUAAACCGCUUUCGCCUGUGACGAAGCGUGAGUGACGGUAAUGGGUAAAGAAGCACCGGCUAACUACGUGCCAGCAGCCGCGGUGAUACGUAGGGUGCGAGCGUUGUCCGGAUUUAUUGGGCGUAAAGGGCUCGUAGGUGGUUGAUCGCGUCGGAAGUGUAAUCUUGGGGCUUAACCCUGAGCGUGCUUUCGAUACGGGUUGACUUGAGGAAGGUAGGGGAGAAUGGAAUUCCUGGUGGAGCGGUGGAAUGCGCAGAUAUCAGGAGGAACACCAGUGGCGAAGGCGGUUCUCUGGGCCUUUCCUGACGCUAAGGAGCGAAAGCGUGGGGAGCGAACAGGCUUAGAUACCCUGGUAGUCCACGCUGUAAACGGUGGGUACUAGGUGUGGGGUCCAUUCCACGGGUUCCGUGCCGUAGCUAACGCUUUAAGUACCCCGCCUGGGGAGUACGGCCGCAAGGCUAAAACUCAAAGGAAUUGACGGGGCCCCGCACAAGCGGCGGAGCAUGCGGAUUAAUUCGAUGCAACGCGUAGAACCUUACCUGGGUUUGACAUGGAUCGGGAGUGCUCAGAGAUGGGUGUGCCUCUUUUGGGGUCGGUUCACAGGUGGUGCAUGGCUGUCGUCAGCUCGUGUCGUGAGAUGUUGGGUUAAGUCCCGCAACGAGCGCAACCCUUGUUCACUGUUGCCAGCACGUUAUGGUGGGGACUCAGUGGAGACCGCCGGGGUCAACUCGGAGGAAGGUGGGGAUGACGUCAAGUCAUCAUGCCCCUUAUGUCCAGGGCUUCACGCAUGCUACAAUGGCUGGUACAGAGAGUGGCGAGCCUGUGAGGGUGAGCGAAUCUCGGAAAGCCGGUCUCAGUUCGGAUUGGGGUCUGCAACUCGACCUCAUGAAGUCGGAGUCGCUAGUAAUCGCAGAUCAGCAACGCUGCGGUGAAUACGUUCCCGGG
rnacentral:rRNA from 1 species